rnacentral:rRNA from 1 species
AGGAUGAACGCUGGCGGCGUGCCUAACACAUGCAAGUCGAACGGAUGCCUUCGGGCAUUAGUGGCGCACGGGUGAGUAACACGUGGUUGAUCUACCCCAAAGUAGGGGAUAACGUUCCGAAAGGAAUGCUAAUACCCUAUAAGCUCCCGGACUUUAGAACCCUGGGAGAAAAAGUUCCGGCGCUUUGGGAGGAGACUGCGGGCCAUCAGCUAGUUGGUGAGGUAACGGCUCACCAAGGCGACGACGGC